rnacentral:tRNA from 1 species
AGAGUAUAGCUCAGUGGUACACUGCAUGCUUAACAUACAUGAGGUCCUGGGUUCAAUCCCCAGUACCUCUA